rnacentral:rRNA from 1 species
AAUCUGCGAUAAGCGUCGGUAAGGUGAUAUGAACCGUUAUAACCGGCGAUUUCCGAAUGGGGAAACCCAGUGUGUUUCGACACACUAUCAUUAACUGAAUCCAUAGGUUAAUGAGGCGAACCGGGGGAACUGAAACAUCUAAGUACCCCGAGGAAAAGAAAUCAACCGAGAUUCCCCCAGUAGCGGCGAGCGAACGGGGAGCAGCCCAGAGCCUGAAUCAGUGUGUGUGUUAGUGGAAGCGUCUGGAAAGGCGCGCGAUACAGGGUGACAGCCCCGUACACAAAAAUGCACAUGCUGUGAGCUCGAUGAGUAGGGCGGGACACGUGGUAUCCUGUCUGAAUAUGGGGGGACCAUCCUCCAAGGCUAAAUACUCCUGACUGACCGAUAGUGAACCAGUACCGUGAGGGAAAGGCGAAAAGAACCCCGGCGAGGGGAGUGAAAAAGAACCUGAAACCGUGUACGUACAAGCAGUGGGAGCACAGAGCAAUCUGUGUGACUGCGUACCUUUUGUAUAAUGGGUCAGCGACUUAUAUUCUGUAGCAAGGUUAACCGAAUAGGGGAGCCGAAGGGAAACCGAGUCUUAACUGGGCGUUAAGUUGCAGGGUAUAGACCCGAAACCCGGUGAUCUAGCCAUGGGCAGGUUGAAGGUUGGGUAACACUAACUGGAGGACCGAACCGACUAAUGUUGAAAAAUUAGCGGAUGACUUGUGGCUGGGGGUGAAAGGCCAAUCAAACCGGGAGAUAGCUGGUUCUCCCCGAAAGCUAUUUAGGUAGCGCCUCGUGAAUUCAUCUCCGGGGGUAGAGCACUGUUUCGGCAAGGGGGUCAUCCCGACUUACCAACCCGAUGCAAACUGCGAAUACCGGAGAAUGUUAUCACGGGAGACACACGGCGGGUGCUAACGUCCGUCGUGAAGAGGGAAACAACCCAGACCGCCAGCUAAGGUCCCAAAGUCAUGGUUAAGUGGGAAACGAUGUGGGAAGGCCCAGACAGCCAGGAUGUUGGCUUAGAAGCAGCCAUCAUUUAAAGAAAGCGUAAUAGCUCACUGGUCGAGUCGGCCUGCGCGGAAGAUGUAACGGGGCUAAACCAUGCACCGAAGCUGCGGCAGCGACGCUUAUGCGUUGUUGGGUAGGGGAGCGUUCUGUAAGCCUGCGAAGGUGUGCUGUGAGGCAUGCUGGAGGUAUCAGAAGUGCGAAUGCUGACAUAAGUAACGAUAAAGCGGGUGAAAAGCCCGCUCGCCGGAAGACCAAGGGUUCCUGUCCAACGUUAAUCGGGGCAGGGUGAGUCGACCCCUAAGGCGAGGCCGAAAGGCGUAGUCGAUGGGAAACAGGUUAAUAUUCCUGUACUUGGUGUUACUGCGAAGGGGGGACGGAGAAGGCUAUGUUGGCCGGGCGACGGUUGUCCCGGUUUAAGCGUGUAGGCUGGUUUUCCAGGCAAAUCCGGAAAAUCAAGGCUGAGGCGUGAUGACGAGGCACUACGGUGCUGAAGCAACAAAUGCCCUGCUUCCAGGAAAAGCCUCUAAGCAUCAGGUAACAUCAAAUCGUACCCCAAACCGACACAGGUGGUCAGGUAGAGAAUACCAAGGCGCUUGAGAGAACUCGGGUGAAGGAACUAGGCAAAAUGGUGCCGUAACUUCGGGAGAA